AAACGCUUGAAGUCAGACGUGCGCAGUGCGAUUCAGCUCUGGUUCGCCAGGGUGUAUUUCGUACUAUUGCAGGCCAGCAUCGGUUUUGCGAGCCGGAUAAAGGUAGAGGGAAGGUAGCGGUCCAGGCCGUGUUAUAGCCCUUUACUGAAUACGGAUUGCGAGACCGAGGGACGCAGCGCGCCGCAAGGCAAAGGCUUCGGCCUUUACGCGCUUAGGAUGCUGGUGAAAUGGCUUUAAGCGA
rnacentral:rRNA from 1 species